ACGCUCGACACCUAGGAGGCAGCAGUGGGGAAUAUUGCACAAUGGAGGAAACUCUGAUGCAGCGACGCCGCGUGAGCGAAGAAGUAUUUCGGUAUGUAAAGCUCUAUCAGCAGGGAAGAAAAAGGACGGUACCUGACUAAGAAGCUCCGGCUAAAUACGUACCAGCAGCCGCGGUAAUCUGAGCGGGCUGGCAAGGC
rnacentral:rRNA from 1 species